rnacentral:tRNA from 1 species
GUGGGUAUAACUCAGUGGUAGAGCACGUGCUUGGCAUGCACAAGGUCCUAGGUUCAAUCCCCAGUACCUGCA